rnacentral:rRNA from 1 species
GAGCGGAGAUAUAUGGAGCUUGCUUUAUAUAACUUAGCAGCGAACGGGUGAGUAACACGUAGAUAAUCUAUCCUAUACUGGGGGAUAGCCCGAUGAAAGUUGGAUUAAUACCGCAUAUAGCUAUAUAGUUGCAUGAUUAUGUAGUGAAAGAUUUAUUGGUAUAGGAGGAGUCUGCGGCACAUUAGCUAGUAGGUGAGGUAAAGGCUUACCUAGGCGACGAUGUGUAGCCGGUCUGAGAGGAUGAACGGCCACAAUGGAACUGAGACACGGUCCAUACUCCUACGGGAGGCAGCAGUGGGGAAUAUUGCACAAUGGGGGAAACCCUGAUGCAGCAACGCCGCGUGAGUGAAGAAGGUUUUCGGAUUGUAAAGCUCUGUUAGCAGGGAAGAGGAAGGACGGUACCUGCAGAGGAAGCCACGGCUAACUACGUGCCAGCAGCCGCGGUAAUACGUAGGUGGCAUGCGUUGUUCGGAAUAACUGGGCGUAAAGGAUGCGUAGGCGGUUAAACAAGUUAUAUGUUAAACAUAUAGGCUUAACCUGUAGAAAGCAUAUAAAACUGUUUAACUAGAGUGCAGGAGAGGUAAGUGGAAUUCCUAGUGUAGCGGUGAAAUGCGUAGAGAUUAGGAAGAACACCAGUGGCGAAGGCGACUUACUGGACUGUAACUGACGCUGAGGCAUGAGAGCAUGGGGAGCAAACAGGAUUAGAUACCCUGGUAGUCCAUGCUGUAAACGAUGGGUACUAGGUGUGGGUUGUGA